UACAGAGGGUGCGAGCGUUGUCCGGAAUCACUGGGCGUAAAGGGCGUGUAGGCGGUCAGGUAAGUGGGAUGUGAAAUGCCCCGGCUCACCCGGGGACCGGCAUCCCAUACUGCUUGGCUUGAGUACGGGAGAGGAUGUGGGAAUUCCUGGUGUAGCGGUGAAAUGCGUAGAUAUCAGGAGGAACACCGGUGGCGAAGGCGCACAUCUGGCCCGAUACUGACGCUAAGGCGCGAAAGCGUGGGGAGCGAACAGG
rnacentral:rRNA from 1 species